rnacentral:misc_RNA from 1 species
GAUGAAGAACGCAGCGAAAUGCGAUAAGUAAUGUGAAUUGCAGAAUUCAGUGAAUCAUCGAAUCUUUGAACGCACAUUGCGCCCUCUGGUAUUCCGGGGGGGCAUGCCUGUUCGAGCGUCAUUAUAACCACUCAAGCUCUCGCUUGGUAUUGGGGUUCGCGGUUCCGCGGCCCCUAAAAUCAGUGGCGGUGCCUGUCGGCUCUACGCGUAGUAAUACUCCACGCGAUUGAGUCCGGUAGGUCUACUUGCCAGCAACCCCCAAUUUUUACAGGUUGACCUCGGAUCAGGUAGGGAUACCCGCUGAACUUAAGCAUAUCAAUAAGCGGAGGA